rnacentral:rRNA from 1 species
UAGGGAAUAUUGGACAAUGGGUGAGAGCCUGAUCCAGCCAUGCCGCGUGCAGGAAGAAGGCGUUAUGCGUUGUAAACUGCUUUUUGCCAGGGGAUAAAAUGACCGUGCGCGGUUAAUUGAAGGUACCUGGUGAAUAAGCCACGGCUAACUACGUGCCAGCAGCCGCGGUAAUACGUAGGUGGCAAGCGUUGUCCGGAUUUAUUGGGUUUAAAGGGUGCGUAGGUGGCCCUGUAAGUCAGUGGUGAAAUAUCUCAGCUUAACUGAGAGGGUGCCAUUGAUACUGCAGGGCUUGAGUACAGAUGAGGUAGGCGGAAUUGACGGUGUAGCGGUGAAAUGCAUAGAUAUCGUCAAGAACACCGAUAGCGAAGGCAGCUUACCAAGCUGUAACUGACACUGAGGCACGAAAGUGUGGGGAUCAAACAGGAUUAGAUACCCCAGUAGUCCCUGAGCGGGCUGGCAAGGCG